rnacentral:rRNA from 1 species
AUUGAACGCUGGCGGCAUGCCUUACACAUGCAAGUCGAACGGUAACAGGUCUUCGGAUGCUGACGAGUGGCGAACGGGUGAGUAAUACAUCGGAACGUGCCCGAGAGUGGGGGAUAACGAGGCGAAAGCUUUGCUAAUACCGCAUACGAUCUCAGGAUGAAAGCAGGGGACCGCAAGGCCUUGCGCUCACGGAGCGGCCGAUGGCAGAGUAGGUAGUUGGUGGGAUAAAAGCUUACCAAGCCGACGAUCUGUAGCUGGGCUGAGAGGACGACCAGCCACACUGGGACUGAGACACGGCCCAGACUCCUACGGGAGGCAGCAGUGGGGAAUUUUGGACAAUGGGCGCAAGCCUGAGCCAGCCAUGCCGCGUGCAGGAUGAAGGCCUUCGGGUUGUAAACUGCUUUUGUACGGAACGAAAAGACUCUGGUUAAUACCUGGGGUCCAUGACGGUACCGUAAGAAUAAGCACCGGCUAACUACGUGCCAGCCGCCGCCGUAACAC